UCAGGCAUGGUGUAACGGUAACACCGCCUCUGGUUAUGAAGAGUUCGAGGAAUGUUCAGAGGCUGCUCAGGGUUCGAAUCCCUGUGUCUGAA